GGAGGCGCGGUCCUUCCAGCCUCUUGCUCCUGUGAAUCACAGGUCGGCGGGAGCCUUUUUUCCUUUUUUUUUUUUUCCCGGGGAGUCGGCCUCGGGGCUCUGCUCUCCUACCUCAGUCUGCCCUACCCUGGAAUGGGGAAAAUGCGGACAUGCCACUCAGUCCGGCCGCGAACAGUGCUCCAGAACUCAGAGAGUUUUCCAGACGGGUGGAGAUCGCGUUCCCUGCCCGCCGAGGUCCCAUCGCUUCCCUGCUGGGAAGACAAAUGAGGCGCUUUAGCCGUCUCCACGGCCAGCCCCUCCCUCAUAACCCGAGAUUCUUUGUGGGCUCUUAGUCCAUAGCUGCCUUUGAGGUGGUGUAGACCUUGCUAACCAGGACGGCCCAGUAGGCAGAGCUCAUUUUUAUUCCUGUCUGCAAUCGUGCAAAAACGCCUCUUAUGGAAAAGCCAGAGCGCCAGGAGUCAGCAAAACACACUAAAGAUUGGGCAGUCACUGGGGAGAACACUCAGCCCGCCUGCACCCAGGUGAAAUAUACAGCCUUGUUGCUCACACAAAGCCUGUUUGGUGGUUUCUUCACACGGAUGCAUGUGACAUUUGGUGCUGAAGACCCAGGACAGGAGGACUCCUUUGGGAGACCAGUGCCCUGUUGUCGCCCUCACUCCGUGAGGAGAUCCACCUAUGAUCUCAGGUCCUCAGACCAACCAGCCCAAGGAACAUCUUGCCAAUUUCAAAUCGGAUAGGAGUGUCAGGCCUCUGAGUCCAAGCUAAGCCAUCAAAUCCCCUGUGACCUGCACGUGUACAUCCAGAUGACCUGAAGCAACUGAAGAUCCACAAAAGAAGUGAAAGUAGCCUUAACUGAUGACAUUCCACCAUUGUGAUUUGUUCCUGCCCCACGCUAACUGAUACCAUAUAUUCUUCCCCCGCCCUUGAGAAUGUACUUUGUACACCUAUCCCAAACCUAUAAGAACUAAUGAUAAUCCUACCACCCUUUGCUGACUCUCUUUUUGGACUCAGCCCGCCUGCACCCAGGUGAAAUAAACAGCCCUGUUGCUCACACAAA
rnacentral:lncRNA from 1 species